rnacentral:lncRNA from 1 species
GGGCAGUUGGUGCUAGGAGCCAGGUGCCAACUCCCCAUUCUGUGAGCAGGGGGCAGGGACAAGGACACACACUGAUUGUCCCACAGAGCCAUACAGGCAUUUAUUACACCACAUCCUGCCAGUGCUGUCCCUUUUGGGGGACAGUGGGGACACAGCCUGGGCACUGGUGGCCUCAUGGCACACCAAUGCCUGGGUCUGGUCCCUCUGAGGCGAGCUCCUGGUGGCCCCUGGGGGGCUCACAUGUGAGUGCCCAGGGUGCUGAUGUAUGCCUGCAAUGCUUGAAGCCGGGCAUCGAUUUCAGACAGAGUGGCUGAGGGCUCUGUGCCCAGGUUCUCUUUCCCAUGCUGUUUGCAGCCCCUAUUCGGGUGAGAUGCCACACUAGUGCUGUUGCAGGAUGAAGCACUCAGUGGACUCCGGGUGCUAGGACCCCCCAAGCCCCUGCGGCGCUGGGGACAUGUGUCAGCCUCGCUGCCCGAGCUCUGUGCUGAGCGCCGGCUCUGGAGACUUUCAGCUGAAGAGCUGCGCCUGCCCCUCCUCCUACAGUUGUCACCACUUGACACCGUCCCACGUGGCAGCUUCUGCCUUCGGAGCUCAGCCUCCUGCCGCCGUUGCUCGCGGGAUCUCACAAAGGCUGUGGGGUUGAAGCGUGGUGGCCGUGAGCCUGCAGGAGAUGGGGACCGUGGUGGCAGGCGGCCUUGGCUGCUACUACGGCUGUCCCGGGAGUUAGAGCGGCGGCGAUCCUGUGGGCAGCCUGGUGCUGUGGCUGAUGUGCUGCGCCCUUUUCUGCAUACCGCCAGCUCAGCCGUCAGUGUCUUCACAUGCGCCCGCAGCAUCUUUUCAGCCGCCUUCACCUCUGUCAGCUCCUUGGUCAUCCGCCGCUGCUCCUGCUGAUGCCAGGCCUUGUCCCGCAGCCGUUCAUCCUCCAGCCUCCACACCUCCUGCUGUGCCCGCCGCAGCUCAUCCCGCAGCUGUGCCAGCUCAUCCUGCUGCUCCUGCACCAGGCGUCGCAAUGCAGCCAUGUCUGCCUCACCAAUGUAGGGCAACGGCAGCGGGUAGUGGAU